UACGUAGGGGGCAAGCGUUGUCCGGAAUCAUUGGGCGUAAAGCGCGUGUAGGCGGCCUUGUAAGUCCGUUCUGAAAGUCCGGGGCUCAACCCCGGGAGGCGGAUGGAUACUGCAAGGCUCGAGUCCGGAAGAGGCAAGUGGAAUUCCCGGUGUAGCGGUGAAAUGCGCAGAUAUCGGGAGGAACACCAAUGGCGAAAGCGGCUUCCUGGUCCAGCACCGACGUCAGGCACGAAAGCGUGGGGAGCAAACAGG
rnacentral:rRNA from 1 species